CGGGCUGCUCAGCGCGCCCGGGCCAAGGCACAGUGCCUGGGGACAAUCCUAAUCUAGUUCUCCGUAUUUGUUCAUUGCUCUUUCAAGAUACAUAUAUAAAGUUGGAGAAAAAAUGAACGUACACCAAUCCCCUGAUACUAGAAGCCUGGCCCAGCAGAUGGGUGUCCUGUUAACUCAGCUGUCUGAGGGCAUUGCCAUUGAGGAGUGUUACAGUCCAGGAGUCCAGCCUCAAGACCUUGAAUGAUUUCAGUCAGAAAAGUGAAGGUAGAGAUUGCCUCAUGAGUCUGGACUCAAAACAGCUAAGAAGAGAAUAAACUUCUGGAAGGGGCUGCCGCUGAACUGCA
rnacentral:lncRNA from 1 species